UUUUUUUUUUUUUUUUUUUUUUUUUUUUUUUUUUUCUGACAAGCCGCGUACU
rnacentral:ribozyme from 1 species